rnacentral:rRNA from 1 species
AUUGAACGCUGGCGGCGUGCCUAAUACAUGCAAGUCGAGCGAAGCGGCGGAUGGGGGAGUAACGCGUGGGUAACCUGCCCUUAAGUCUGGGAUAACAUUUGGAAACAGAUGCUAAUACCGGAUAAUAACGGAGGGAGCUGGGUCGCAUUAGUUCGUUGGUAAGGUAACGGCUUACCAAGGCGAUGAUGCAUAGCCGAGUUGAGAGGCUGAUCGGCCACAUUGGGACUGAGACACGGCCCAAACUCCUACGGGAGGCAGCAGUAGGGAAUCUUCCACAAUGGACGAAAGUCUGAUGGAGCAACGCCGCGUGAGUGAAGAAGGUUUUCGGAUCGUAAAGCUCUGUUGUUGGUGAAGCGGUAAUCAACCAGAAAGUCACGGCUAACUACGUGCCAGCCGCCGCGGUAAUAC